UACGUAGGGGGCAAGCGUUGUCCGGAUUUAUUGGGCGUAAAGAGCGUGUAGGCGGCUAGAUAGGUCCGUUGUGAAAACUCGAGGCUCAACCUCGAGACGUCGAUGGAAACCAUCUGGCUAGAGUCCGGAAGAGGAGAGUGGAAUUCCCGGUGUAGCGGUGAAAUGCGCAGAUAUCGGGAAGAACACCCGUGGCGAAGGCGGUUCUCUGGGACGGUACUGACGCUGAGACGCGAAAGCGUGGGGAGCGAACAGG
rnacentral:rRNA from 1 species